rnacentral:rRNA from 1 species
UACGUAGGUGGCAAGCGUUGUCCGGAUUUACUGGGCGUAAAGAGCGCGCAGGCGGUCGUUCAAGUCGCGUGUGAAAGCCCCCGGCUCAACUGGGGAGGGUCACGCGAUACUGAUCGACUCGAAGGCAGGAGAGGGUAGUGGAAUUCCAGGUGUAGCGGUGAAAUGCGUAGAUAUCUGGAGGAAUACCGGUGGCGAAGGCGGCAUCCUGGACCGGCAUUGACGCUGAGGAGCGAAAGCCAGGGAG